rnacentral:rRNA from 1 species
UACGAAGGGGGCUAGCGUUGUUCGGAAUUACUGGGCGUAAAGCGCGCGCAGGCGGUCUUCCAAGUCAGUGGUGAAAGCCCGGAGCUCAACUCCGGAACUGCCAUUGAAACUGUUGGACUUGAGUACGAGAGAGGUGAGUGGAAUUCCCAGUGUAGAGGUGAAAUUCGUAGAUAUUGGGAAGAACACCAGUGGCGAAGGCGGCUCUCUGGACCGUAACUGACGCUGAGGCGCGAAAGCGUGGGGAGCAAACAGG